ensembl:snRNA U6 U6 spliceosomal RNA
GUGCUUGCCUAAGCAGCACAAAUACUAUAAUUGGAACAGUGCAGAGAAAGCGAACAUGACCCUUAAUCGAAGAUGACAUACAAAUUUGUGAAGCCUUUCUAUUUGUC